UUUCCGUAGGUGAACCUGCGGAAGGAUCAUUAUUGUAUAACCGGGGUGCGGGGGCUGUCGCUGACCCGAAAGGUCGUGCACGCCCGAGUGCCCUCGCACACAUCCAUCUCACCCCUAUGUGCACCACCGCGUGGGUCCCCCUUUGGCUUGUUCGGAGGGGGGCUUACGUUUUCACACAAACUUUGUAUGCAGUGUAGAAUGUAUUUUUUGUUUUUGCGAUCACGCAAUCAAUACAACUUUCAACAACGGAUCUCUUGGCUCUC
rnacentral:misc_RNA from 1 species